UAUUGCACAAUGGGCGCAAGCCUGAUGCAGCCAUGCCGCGUGUGUGAAGAAGGCCUUCGGGUUGUAAAGCACUUUCAGUCAGGAGGAAAGGUUAGUAGUUAAUACCUGCUAGCUGUGACGUUACUGACAGAAGAAGCACCGGCUAACUCCGUGCCAGCAGCCGCGGUAAUACGGAGGGUGCGAGCGUUAAUCGGAAUUACUGGGCGUAAAGCGUACGCAGGCGGUUUGUUAAGCGAGAUGUGAAAGCCCCGGGCUCAACCUGGGAACUGCAUUUCGAACUGGCAAACUAGAGUGUGAUAGAGGGUGGUAGAAUUUCAGGUGUAGCGGUGAAAUGCGUAGAGAUUUGAAGGAAUACCGAUGGCGAAGGCAGCCACCUGGGUCAACACUGACGCUCAUUACGAAG
rnacentral:rRNA from 1 species